AACCCAUGGUGUGGGCAUUGGUUAGUGUAGCUCCUGAAUCUCUCAUAUGCUUCACCAAAACUCUCAUUUCUAUGUUGAGUGAAGCUGGAGAUUUGGUUUAUUAGCUU
rfam:Eutrema salsugineum unplaced genomic scaffold scaffold_9, whole genome shotgun sequence.